rnacentral:misc_RNA from 1 species
CUAAGGAUUUUAACGGAACCUACACAGUCGUUCUUUCUUUGUUCAGUUUUGAGAGGUCUAAUCUUCUCAAAAUCGUUGUUCUUUGAAAACUGGAUAUUGUUUAAUUGUAAAAAUUGUAAGAAACCGAGAAACACACCGCGUUUGUAAGAGUUUGACACG